UACGGAGGGUGCGAGCGUUGUCCGGAAUCACUGGGCGUAAAGGGCGCGUAGGCGGUGACUUAAGCGUGUGGUGAAAGCCCGGGGCUCAACCCCGGGUCGGCCGUGCGAACUGGGUCACUCGAGCACUGUAGAGGCAGGUGGAAUUCCGGGUGUAGCGGUGGAAUGCGUAGAGAUCCGGAAGAACACCAGUGGCGAAGGCGGCCUGCUGGGCAGUAGCUGACGCUGAGGCGCGACAGCGUGGGGAGCAAACAGGAUUAGAAACCCGUGUAGU
rnacentral:rRNA from 1 species